UCUCCUCCUUAUUCUCCUUCUUGUUCUCCUUCUUCUUCUCUUCUUUUUCUUCUUCUCUCCUUAUUUUUCUUCUCCUUCUUCUUCUCUUGUUGCUUCUUCCCUUUCUUCUUCUGCGUAGCUUAUUUUCGCCAACAAAGACAUACUUAUCUAAUUAUCCUACAAAAUGAUCUAAUUAGAUUAGUUAGGUAAAAACAUCAUAAGAACCUUAGUUAGCUCAUUAAAAUGACUAAUUAAGCUCCAAAAAUACAUAAUAAGCUCAAAAUGGCAUAAGAACAUUGGUUAGCUCAUGAAUAUUAUAUACUUAGUUUGUUUUCCUCUAAAAUGACAUAAUUAGCCCAUUUAGGUCCGAAAAGACAUACUUAGCUAAUUUAGCUCCAAGAAGAGGAGAAGAGGAGAAACGAAAAGAAGGAAGAAGAAGAAGAAUAAGAUAAGAAGAAGAGAAGGAGAAGGAGAAUAAGAAGAAGAAGGAGGAGGAGAAGAAGAAGAGAAGAAGCAAAGAAGAAGGAGAAGAAGAAGAAGGAGACCUCCUUCUGCUCCUUCUUCUUCUCCUUCUUAUUCUCUCCUCCUUCUUCUCAUUCUUCUUCUCCUUCUUCUUCUCUUUUUCUUUCCUUCUUCUUUUAUUCUUCUUCUCCUCCUCCUUCUCCUUCUCCUUCUUCUUCUUCUUCUUCUCAUUCUUCUCUUCUUGCUUCUUCUCUUUCUUCUUCAAUUUAGCUUAUUUUCCCCAACAAAGACAUACUUAGCUAAUUAUCCUCCAAAAUGACAUAAUUAGCUUAGUUAGGUAAAAACAUCAUAAGAACCUUGGUUAGCUCAUUAAAAUGACUAAUUUAGCUCCAAAAAGACAUAAUAAGCUCAAAAUGGCAUAAGAACCUUGGUUAGCCAAUGAAUAUUAUAUACUUAGCUUCUUUUCCUCUAAAAUGACAUAAUUAGCCCAUUUAGCUCCAAAAAUACAUAGUUGGCUAAUUUAGCUCCAAGAAUAGGAGAAGAGGAGAAAUGAAAAUAAGGAAGAAGAAGAAGAGUAAGAAGAGAAGAAGGGAAGGAGAAGGAGAAGAAUAAGAAGGAGGAGGAGAAGAAGAAGAGAAGAAGAAGAGAAGAAGGAGAGAAGAAGGAGAGAAGAAGGAGAACGAGGAGAAUAAGGAGAAGGAUCCCUCCUUCUUCUCCUUCUUCUUCUCCUUCUUCUUAUCUCCUCCUUCUUCUCCUUCUUCUUCUUCCUCUCCUUCUUCUUCUCGUCUUCUUUUCUUCUUCUUCUCAUCCUCCUUUUCGUUCUACUCCUCCUCCUUCUUCUUGUUAUUCUUUGUUUUCUUCUCCUUCUCUAAUUGCUUCGUCUCUUUCUUCUUCAAUUUAGCUUAUUUUCCCCCAACAAAGACAUACUUAGCUAAUUAUCCUCCAGAAUGACAUAAUUACCUUAGUUAGGUAAAAACAUCAUAAGAACCUUGGUUAGCUCAUUAAAAUGACUAAUUAGAUCCAAAAAGACAUAAUAACCUCGAAAUGGCAUAAGAACCUUGGUUAGGUCAUCAAUAUUGUAUACUUAGCUUGUUUUCCUCCAAAAAGACAUAGUUAUCUAAUUUAGCUCCAAGAAGAGGAGAAGAGGAGAAAUGAAAAGAAGGUAGAACAAGAAGAAGAAGAGAAGAAGAAGAGAAGGAGAAGGAGAAGAAGAAGAAGGAGGGGGAGAAGAAGACGAGAAGAAGGAGAAGGAGCCCUCCUUCUUCUCCUUCUUCUUCUCCUUAUUAUUCUCUCCUCAUUCUUCUCCUUUUUCUGCUGCUUCUUCUUAUCUUCUUCUUUUCUUCUUCUUCUCAUCCUCCUUCUCAUUCUCCUUCUCCUCCUUCUUCUUCAUGUUUUUCUUCUCCUUCUUCUUCUCUUCUUGCUUCUUCUCUUUAUUCUUCAAUUUAGAUUAUUUGUCAUAUAUAUGUUGUUGUUCUUCUUCUUCUGACUUUCUUAUUCCCAUUUUGCAGAUUGGAUGUACUACAUGCAUGGAAGCUAGAAUUGAUGGAGUGCUUAAGUUCUAGUUUUUAUUUGAGUUGAUGAACAAUGUGGAAUUAUAUUUAUAUGUAUAUAUGGAUGAACUAUAUAUGUGGAAUUAUAUGUACUAGUCGCCAACCCGUGCAUUCGCACGGGCUAGUUUACAAAUUAAUAUAUAUGGAAAACCUCACACCAUUUAUAACUUUUGAAUCUUGUUUAGAUCAUAACACAUGUGGAACACCUUAUAAUUUCAAAUUCUACAUUAUAAUAGAACCAUUCAUUUGAUUUUGUAGUUUUUUUACAUUUGCAUUGUCUCACACUCAAAUCAAUAUUAAAUUUAAUUCGUUGUGAUUUUUUGCUAUUUGGCAUCCAUAAAUACAGCAUGUAUAAAGAGUGCUUGCAUAUGCAACUUUGAGUAAUAAUCGGUGCUAUAUAAUUUAAAUUAGGUCAGUUUCUUACCUUGCUGAUGUAAAGUUUGUAUGGACAACCUUGUUCCCUCGAUUAUAGACUUGUGAGCAAUUCUAUUCUAUAUGGGUAUGGAAGUAGUUCUUAUUCAUGAAAUCAGACUCAUCGCAAGAGGAUUCCUACCAAGAAUUACAUCGACUAACUGACAUGAACAUUGUAAGAUCAUGAAAUUACAUAUUGCCGUAUCAAGUAGACCUAUGUCAUCUAGAAGAUUCUAAUUGGUUAGGAAAUAUACCAUUGCAAAUAUAAAUUAAUAAAGGAAAAUUGAGGAACAAACAAACACAUCGAUGAUAAAAUACAAUAACAUUUGAGUGAUACUUUAUAAGAAUGUUAUCCUUCAAAUAUAUGUACAGGUCAAGAUUUAUUAAGAUAUUUUCUCAGAUAAAUGUAUUUUUUAUGAAUGCAAAUGAUUUUUUGUAUAAAAUAACUCCUACCCAAUUUAAUGGGAUUGUAUACUGCAUGUCUAAUCAGUCAUAACCUAUGCUACUUGUCUAGACGACGGUAAUUAAUACUUGGACACAAAAUAUGUGUGCGUUAGUAAAUCUUAGUAAAUCUGGAUGUGGCGACCUGGUCUGGAGAGAGCCACAGAGUUAUAUGCACAAAUUUUUGUAGCAGAUAACAUGAGAAAGAUGAGGUCAGGAGAGAGCAUAGAUGACUGACUUCAGGAUUGGUGCUCCUUUCCUGUCCCCAGGAUGAUCGUUUCUAGGCACGUAGCAAUGGAGGAGUGCUGGUAUAAGGCGUCAUGCCAUGGAUUAGGCUUCUGAGAUCGCCGCCGGGGAGCUAUAGAUGAUGCUGACCUGCCAUCAUAUCGGUAGAGAAGACGGUCGCCGCCGCGCCAAGGACGGCUCGGUUUCUGAGAUCGUGAUUCUUUUUUCAUUUGCUGACCUAGAAAAUAGAGGAAGGAGAGUCGUGAGAUAUGGGAUGUGAGAUAUUUGUUUUUUGAUAGCAUGAGAUGUGAGAUAUUAAGAAGGGGACCUAUAGAAAAGAAAGAGUCGUGAGAGAUUAGGAGAAACAGAGCGAUGGACGUGGUCAUUUUUAGGCAGUUAUUAUAUUGUCAAAAUAUCUAACGUAAUAAGUGGUACAGCUAUAGAUUGAGAUAUGUUUUUU
rnacentral:lncRNA from 1 species